UUAUUUGGGUAUUUUUAUCUUUGGGGCAAAUUUAGGAUUAAUAUGGGGAUUGUUUUUGGAGGUAUUCACUUUACAUUGUGUUCAAGAUGGUUACUUCCGCCCACUCUGAAGAGUCUCGGCGUCUGAUUGGUCCAAUUUUCAGUUAGGCGCCGCCUGAUUGGCCGCUGGACGAUGUCUGCUCCUAACAGAGGGCUAAAUCACUAGUUAACUAUUUUCAUCAUGGAAGUUAUACAGCUCAUGUAUCACACUUAAUAUUGAAUAUAUAUAUAAAAAGGGUUUUCCAAAAGGACCAUUUAUAAUCGAAAUACACAACUUCACACACGAUUUUGAGCACAACAGAGCGCUCAGUGAACAUCACUUCCGGGACCUGCAUCACCGGAGGGGGACAUCUAUCUUGGUCACAAACAAUCUUUGACAGUCUUCGACAGCAUGGUUGAAUCAGGCGCAUCAACACAUGAUAUAGACAUCGUGCCCAAAAGAAGAGCGAGACGUAAUCCUGAGGCUGAAGCCACCGAGUUUAUUUGAUCUGGAUGUGACAAGUCUUGUUUUAAGGCCCAGUGGAUCAAUGAUUGGAAAGACACCAACUGUUGAUGUUCUAUCUCAACAUUCUCCAGAUUCAUGUGAGCGAUAAACCGACUUCAUCCCUCCAACAGACACCAACUGUUGGGGUUCUAUCUCAACAUUCUCCAGAUUCAGAUGUGAGCGAUAAACCGACUUCAUCCCUCCAACAGAAACCAACUGUUGAGGUUCCAUCUCAACAUUCUCCGGAUUCAGAUAAACCAACAGUUUGAGAUUCUAUCUCAACAUUCUCUAGAUUCAGAUGACAGCCAUAAACCGACUUCAUCCCUCCAACAGAUUGACAGCAGGACAAAUCGCUGGAAGUGGGUAUGUCUCAAGCUUCUUCCACUUGGUCCACUCCAAAGCGGGCUGCAAAGGGGAAGAAGUGGAAGCAGUUGAAUGACACAUGUUGCAUUUUGUAACUGGCAACAAAGUACCAGGUAAAAAAGAUUGUGAAGCCUGCCUCCAUAAAGAACUAGUAGCUCUACAGGACAGAGAUUGGCUUGCCAUCAAGUACUACAUCCACAAAAGAAUUAUAUUAAAAAAAGGGAAAAAAAAUGUUUUCCCACAUCUUCUGUGGUAGUUUGAGUAUGUUACCAGCAAUUAAAAAAGCAAAAUAAACAGCAAGCGUUUUGUAUUUAUUCCAGAUAAUUCUUAGCGACAAAAUCCACAAAAACAAUUCAGUUACACUUAGUUGACAAUUACAUGUUUACCCAUGUUUCUUUUAAACUCUUCUUGGUUUUAGAUUACAGUAGCAUGGGAUUGGGAUUUUUUUUUUAAAUGACAACACAUCAACUAAACCAACUCAGGUGGUUUUGUUAAGUCUCUGAUGUCAUUAGCCUCAUAUGUCACAUGAACCUGAAAUCUUAAACACUCUGUGAUGUCAUGGUUGUCAUAUUUCACAAACUUGAAAUCUUAAACACUCUGUGACGUCAUGGUCAUCAUAUGUCAC